AUUGAACGCUGGCGGCAGGCCUAACACAUGCAAGUCGAGCGGAUGAAGGGAGCUUGCUCCUGGAUUCAGCGGCGGACGGGUGAGUAAUGCCUAGGAAUCUGCCUGGUAGUGGGGGAUAACGUCCGGAAACGGGCCCUAAUACCGCAUACGUCCUGAGGGAGAAAGGGGGGGAUCUUCGAACCUCACGCUAUAAGAUGAGCCUAGGUCGGAUUAGCUAGUUGGUGGGGUAAAGGCCUACCAAGGCGACGAUCCGUAACUGGUCUGAGAGGAUGAUCAGUCACACUGGAACUGAGACACGGUCCAGACUCCUACGGGAGGCAGCAGUGGGGAAUAUUGGACAAUGGGCGAAAGCCUGAUCCAGCCAUGCCGCGUGUGUGAAGAAGGUCUUCGGAUUGUAAAGCACUUUAAGUUGGGAGGAAGGGCAGUAAGUUAAUACCUUGCUGUUUUGACGUUACCAACAGAAUAAGCACCGGCUAACUUCGUG
rnacentral:rRNA from 1 species